CUUGUAAGAGCCCAGCACAGCACAGAUUUACAAAAUGAUACACAAAGACCUCAGAGAGUCUUGCUUUGUUGUCCAGGCUGGAAUGCAGUGGCUCAAUUUUGGUUCACUGCAACCUGCACCUCCCAGAUUCAAGUGAUCCUCCUGCUUCAGCCUCCCGAGUAGCUGGGAUUACAGUGGUACAUCCUGUAGUUGAGGGCUUCUUACACCUGAUGAAAUACCAUAGGUUCUGCAUGUCAGAUGGAGUCUCACUCUGUCACCCAGGCUGCAGUCCAGUAGCAUGAUCCCGGCUCACUACAACCUCUGCUUCCCGGGUUCAAGCAAUUCUCCUGCUUGUGAUUUCCUCCAUUUGGAUUAGAUAAGACUGUGCUGCAAUAGGACUUUUUUGGGCUUAGAAUGAGAAAAAAGGAGGGCAUUCUCAACAAGGAAGUCCAUUUCAGAGUGAAAACAUGAAACAGUAAAAUACUUCAGUAGUUGGGCAGAAGACAGAAGAAUAAUGUCUUAACUGGACUGCGGUAGGAUACAAUGAGUUUAUAUCUAGCAGAACCUUUCAUUUAGCAUAUUAUAGUUAUGAUAUCAUAACUAAAAUUAACUUUUCUGAGACAAGGUUCAGUUUCAUGUAGAAAUGAGCAAUUAAAAAAUAAAGAUAUAUUUAUUCC
rnacentral:lncRNA from 1 species